UACGGGGGAGCAAGCGUUGUUCGGAUUUACUGGCGUAAAGGGCGCGUAGGCGGUCAGCACAAGUCAGUUGUGAAAUCUCCGGGCUUAACUCGGAAAGGUCAACUGAUACUGUGCGACUAGAGUGCAGAAGGGGCAACUGGAAUUCUCGGUGUAGCGGUGAAAUGCGUAGAUAUCGAGAGGAACACCUGCGGCGAAGGCGGGUUGCUGGGCUGACACUGACGCUGAUGCGCGACAGCCAGGGGAGCGAACGGG
rnacentral:rRNA from 1 species